AUUGAACGCUGGCGGCAUGCCUUACACAUGCAAGUCGAACGGCAGCACGGGAGCAAUCCUGGUGGCGAGUGGCGAACGGGUGAGUAAUAUAUCGGAACGUGCCCAGUCGUGGGGGAUAACGUAGCGAAAGCUACGCUAAUACCGCAUACGAUCUAUGGAUGAAAGCGGGGGGAUCGCAAGACCUCGCGCGAUUGGAGCGGCCGAUAUCAGAUUAGGUAGUUGGUGAGGUAAAGGCUCACCAAGCCGACGAUCUGUAGCUGGUCUGAGAGGACGACCAGCCACACUGGGACUGAGACACGGCCCAGACUCCUACGGGAGGCAGCAGUGGGGAAUUUUGGGACAAUGGGCGCAAGCCUGAUCCAGCAAUGCCGCGUGCAGGAUGAAGGCC
rnacentral:rRNA from 1 species